AAAAUUAUACUAAAUUCUAUAUUAUAUUUUUAGAAUUAUUUUACAUACUGAAUAUCUUAAUUGCAAAAUUUUUGUUAUUUUGGUGAUUGUGUUAUUUUAAAUAUAAAAAGUAAAUGCUUGUCUUCGAUAGAUUGAAGCGGUAAUAAUCAUACGUAAUCGCGUCAAGAACAUUUACAGUGACUUGUUUUCUUAAUAUACGUGAUUAUUCGACAAUAUACAUAUAUUUACAGCUUGGAACUAGAACAACUUGUAUAAUUCUCUGUCUUGGAAUAGAUAUUAUAUAUUCUAUUACAUUAGUCGCUCGAUUUCAAGCUACAGAACUGACAUUGGUUGUUCCAGUUUGUCCCGGCAUAAAUUGAUUUUGUUUUCAAUUUGAAUUACUCGAUCAUACAUCAGACCGUUAUUAGUUAUCAUGCUAUUUGACCGCGUGAAAUUUUAUGCUACUUGUAACAAUUUAUGAGAUGCGCUACGUGUGAUAUUUAGAUGCUAAAUUUCUUUCCAGGUUGGUCGUCCGUAGGGCACAAAAGCUCGCGAUUUUAGGAUAAAAAUAAGAUUUGGCGUUGUAUAGGUGACAAAAGAUUUAUUUUUUCUGGUAUUAAACGCGGCGCGUUUAUCGUUAAAAAUUUAUUUAACAAUACGUUUAUCGAAAGUUACGUAGAAUAUUAUAAGAGUAUCUAGGACGUAAGAAUAAUAUUUCCGAUUUGAUAGUGCCUGGUAGCAGACGAUCGGCCGGUCUUUUUUGUGUUUUGCAGAGCGAAUAAAAAUUUUCUUUGGAACGAUAAGUGAGGGUGGGAGGGGGAAGGGAUGAAGCGAAGGAUGUGAGAAAAAAAGAGAUUUAUAUAAGUGGUGAAGUAUAUAAUACGGAAACGCAAGACGUGUUACACGCAUGCCAUCCAGGUAUUUAAAAAGUACAGUGCUUUAUUUUUUUGAAAAAGAAAGAGAUAGAGAAGUAUAUUAAUUCUAUUUGCGGGCGGGAAAGAGAAAAUUUAUAAGCGUCACGCAUUCACGUUUCUCAAAAUACGUGAGACAGAUGCCUCUUUGUGUCGUAAAAUGGGCACGAUUGGACAUUUCUCACGAAAGUAGGUAGUAAACGAAAAAUUUCAACCCUUAGAAUGGCAAAUGUAUGAUAAAAUUCUCAAUCACACGUUGGGAUUUAUUGGACCUCUUAAUAUUUGUAUAUUUAUUUUCAAUACUUAGUUUUUAGCAACUGGAUAUUAUAUUAGCACUGUAGAAUUUAUUGACGAAUUAAAUUGUCGAAUUCUCUUUUACUUGUUAAUAUCUCAAAUAACUCAAUAUUAUUAAAAAGACAAUAUUAAAAUAAUCGCAAGUAAUGAGGCAGCUAAUUUAUAAAGCCAUUUGUUUGUCGUUCUAGGGUUAAGAAAUACGUGCGGUACAUUUUUGGUUAUUUUGAUAAAGACGAUCGUAGGUAUAGCUUUAUCGCAUUUUUUUGGCCGUACUACUUAUGAGAAGUCUAUUGUUACAUUUUUGAGGACGAGAAUGAGUGACACUGAAUAAAUGAGAGAGAUAUAGAAAGAGAUAUAUGAAAUAAGAAAGAAAGCGAAAGAAGAAAUAGCAAGCAUAAGGUUCUAUUCUAAAAAUCUAUAUAUGAUAAAUAUACAUUAUAUAUAUCGGGAAGAAAUGCAGAUGUAUUUACUAAGAGCUUUUGCGAUGGCAGAGGAAAGCAUGUAAAGCGAGCCAAGUUAGUUCCCGAAUGAUGGAAAAAAAUUGAAUCUUCUAACGACUGAAGCUUUCGAGUAGAAGCUUAAUGAAUAUAGGAGUACAGGUUUUAUGCCGUUAGCGCAAACAAUAUUGUAAUUGCAAAAUAAGUUGAACACGGGCUUGCUAAUGUGCUAGAUGAAAAUUGCCACCGUUGGGACUUGGACAUCAAUCGGGAACUACGUGGCUCGAAUGGCGAGAGAUUGUCGGCGAGAGAUUGGAGAAGCGCGAAUUUCGUGGCCCUGCGAUCGAGAAUUGACGUUCUUCGGCGAGCGGGUUCGGCGUUUUUAGAUUUUAAGGCGUUAUGUAUAGACAUAAAAAGAAAUUUAUUUAAGAAAAUUAGAGACAAGCAUGUCUAAAACUUGCGUCGACGCGCAAUGCUGUGGAGAGCGAGUCCGCAACGUUUCCCGCCCGCCAUUUUUCCGCGCGACAGGAGGCGAGACGAUGACUUUGCGGGCUCUCUCUUAUUUAAAAAAAAGAGCUUUCGUUUCUAUUAUAUGUUUUUUUUUUUCGCAAUCUAUUAUAGCCAUAUUUAUAAUGUCAGCCGCUGGUGGAAUAUCCCGCGCGCAGAAGAACGAUCGAGUCGCGAAUUCGAAGACUGGAUAGAAGCAGGAAUCCUGUCGAGCGUGCAAGUCGCUGCGGCGAUUAUAUCCAAUCUAGUCGAAAUUAAUGAAUCAAUGUUGACGCGGCAAAAUGGACGGUAAACGAUUUUCUCACUUUUCACUUUCAAUCAUUGUUCGAGCGCAUUACUAUAUUUUUAGGAAUAUACACGUCCAUAUUGUCUUUGGAGCAACUGAAAAAUGUGUUAGAUAUGCAAUUUAAAUAAAAAGAAGUCUAUCCGGUCUUCGCGAGAAACAUAUUAAAAGAAAACACUGACUAAAAUAUUGUAUGAUAUUUUAACGAGCUUUUUAAUGAUUUCUUUCGGCCAUUAUUUCGGACUUGUCUUCGCAGGGCAACGAAUUCGCUGUAACGAGCGUACUAUUGCAUUGAAAAGAGAAUAAUGUGUUGCAAUUAGAUUGUUAAUCAGCCCGAAGGUCUGUUACAUCUAUGUGUAAAAAAGAAAAAGAGAGACGGUAUUGUGUGAACGAGAGGGAAACAUGCAGGGGUACAAACGGUGAUGGAAGGUGAAUGACCCAAGAAACGAUUGUGACGGUAGUUCGACCACCCAUCGCAGAAUUCCCCCUUAAACGAUUUUUCGACGUUUCGCGAGAACACGAAAGAAGAGAAUGGAAUGAUCGCGGGAAAAUAAGCGAAUAGCUGUAGGAAAUAGCGAAACAAGAGCAAAUAGCGCGUACGAGGGAGAGACGAGAAUGUCGAGACAAGUAGGUUUCAACCGAGAGAGCCUUGUGUUAAGUGCCUUCAAAACGACUUAGAUUUUAGGCUGUAGAAGAAACGAAACAAACAGAGGCGCUGGGCGCGUCCAGCUGUGAACGGAUUUUUACGGUAUUAUUCAGCCGGACGUCGCCAAUUUGUGUACAAGAUUUCGAUAGACGACGAAGUUGCUCGGUAUGUAUCUUAAAGAAAGAGAGAAAAAAAAAACGGUAUAAAGUUUUUUUUGGCUUUUUUAUCGCCAUAAACUCUCCCGUCGAAGAAGAUAUGUUUUAAAAUAUCAAUAAUAAUAUUAAAAAAAAAAGUUUUACAAGAGAGGAUUUGUGCGACAAAUAGCUCCGUCGGUCGAAAUCUUCCGGCGACGUCCCGCGUACAUCUCGAGACCAGUGAUAUUUUUUUAGAAAUUAUUUAUUUAUGCCGAAGGAAGCGGAAUUUAAUCUCAAUCACUAGCCUUUAUACUGCCAAUAUCUGCUUAGAACGUACCUUCAACCUUCGUUCGAGCACUUUUCACAUGAUCAGACAUGCCCUCCGCGUGACAUUUUUCCUUCCCGACUUCCACGACAGCCACGCAAUACACAUGUAUGUUAUAUCCCUCGUAGAAUGCCUCGUAUUCUAAGUAAUUUACGUUUCAGUUCCGUAUUUAUUCCUACCUAGAUCAUGUUUCUUACGCAUCUUUGUUGUUCUUGUAACGUUACUUUCCACAAGACACGAGUAUGCAACACUUCCUUUGCACUUUGACUUUUUUUUUCGUUCGUCUUUAAUUGACAGUACAAUUAUUUGUAAUAAAUAAUAGUGAAGUCCAAAUCACGUCACGAGCGCGCGAUUUGAGCAUCGAGUGCGGAACGUCGCUUCGAUCCUGCGUCCGAAACUUCGUUUCUCAUUUUCGCCUCGAUAUGAUCGAAGACGAAUCGAUCAAUAUCUGCAAUAUACUGAUUUAUUACACAUGUGCAACAUACCACAGAUCACACAUCCGCAAUAUCAUAAACGUCUUUUUUACCUUUUAAGAGGACCCUCGGACGACGUGCCGCACUCGAAUUUAAGUACGAUACUCUUUAGUACAAGCACAGUACUCAACUGUACAGAAAUAGAUAGAGUGAAAGAGCGAAAAAAUGAAGAAAACGAAAGAAAGAACGAAUGAGCAAGAGUGUAAAAGCGGGAGAGAGAGAGAAUGUGUGUGUGUGUGUGUGUGUGAGAGAGAGAGAGAGAAAGAAAAACACAUAAAAAUAAACACAAUUACAACUUCCGCUCAGCGCCUCAAACGCAAAACCUAUACUACUUGUAAUCGUAACUUCUUUGUCGCCAUGUAUUUGCCAACGAACGAUGAUUUAUUAAUUAUUAUUUCUUCCUUUUGCCUUCAUUUUAUAUUAAUAUUAUUUAGAGAGCAACAAUUAAUAACGAUUACGCUAUGAUGAUAACGAUAAUCUUUCUAGAUACUUUUUUGCUUGUUCUCUUGCGACAAAUUUAGCGACACACACACACACACACACACACACAUACACCCACAGAAAUACGUACACAUAUACAUGCAAUCGACAAUAUGUGACAAUGAAUACCUGUAAACACAUAUACGAAGAUCAUUCAUUUGCGGUAAGAUAACGUGAUUUAGCGGAAUGCGUACUUGAUCGUCGCGUCGCCGUUUAUUGGCGUUCGUUUGUAUCACGUAAGAAGAGUCGCUUGCUUAAGGAACUCGCAGGGAACGCUGGGUCGGUCUCGAAAUCGCGUUGGAGCUCGUUCAUCCCUCGUUCGCAUGAAUUGUAAAGAAAUCGGAAGAAAUCCGUAUCGCGGGGAGGGACUCGCGAGAUCCCGCGUUGAUCGCGACAGACCGAACGUUCAAGCCCUGGCCUUCUAUUACAGUGCUUCCUUUCCGUUUUUUUUUUUCUGUAUACACAUAUCAUCUUUUGGACCUUUCGAACAUUCCAAAACGCUUGUUUCCCUCUUUUUUUUGUCAAUUUGUAGAGCGCCUUGUAUUCAAUUUAGAGCAAAAUAAAGUCUAGAAAGGCAAUAUUCCAACCGCGUUUUCUACACCCCUCGUAAUUCUCAUUUCUCAAGCCGCAAAUUGUUCUAUUCGGAUUGUUGAGGACUUUAACGAAUUUUCUUUUUAAGAUUUAAAAUUUUGCAUCAAUUUCAAACAUUAUAUUUGUUAUUCGAUAAACUUGCUUAAUUAAAUAGAAGUAUAUUCGAGUAAUUAAAAUUUUAAUGAACAAAGUUUGUGAUCUUGUACUUUUAAGAAUAUCAAAAAAUUUCUAUCAUUCGUAACUAUCAUUCGUAAAAAAUAUUUUAUUUUGUAACUCCUUGAAUUUCGGAUGCAUAAUUUUUUUCCUUAUCUCUUUAAUUCGUAGGUAUUGCAGUUAAUAAUUUAUAGAUAUAUGUAUUCGUUAAUUUCCAAAAUUUCUAUAUUUUACUUUAAAGUGGAAACUAUAAUAGCAAAUGAUAACAAAAAUAUCUUUGCAGGAUGUCUACGUGAAAAGCAGAAGCUGAAAUUCAAAGUAUUCUCUAAAAAUAAGCAUCGAGAAUCCUCGGGGGAGUAUUUAGUUACUGUUUCCGCAUACUAACUAGUUCAAUUUUUUGCAGGUGCAGUACCCGUUGGUGUAAAUUUUCGCGGAAGAAGAUUCGAAAAGUCUUGUUACUCGGACGAAAGCGUGAAAUCGACGAAGGCGACAAGAAGCAUCGUAGAACACACUUUAAAGAAAUGGAACACACGUGAUCCGUCGAAGAAAGCGGAGCAGAAGUACACGAAAGCAACCCUACGAUUUAUCAUCAAUGUAGAAUCUGUCCGCCAUGGCGUGACAAGAUAGUAGUAACGGAAUUUUAACUUUGCGUCUCGUUAAGAAGGAAUAUUUUAGAAUGUAGAUUAGAGAGAAUAACCCAAUAUACUGUUCUUAUUUUCAUUCUGAUGUCAAGUUACUAUUUAAACCUGUUCACAUUUUAGAGUUAUAUCCCGACGAUGUUCAGAAAAGAUCGCGACAUCGAUCGAAUUCACAUUUCACACACAUUCAACCAAGGGGCUUUCUUGACUAGAGAGAAAGUUCCCCAAUGAGUAGACAUCAUUCACCGUCGAAAGUCACUCCUACCCCUUUGAUCCCGCUCCAGACGCCACAUGCUCGUUGUUGCUAAGCUUGAGAAUCUUGAAUGUCUUUUUUUUUUUUUGUUGGCAUGGCCCGCGCCGUUGUAAAGAGUACAAGUAACCACGCGUGACCCCCGUCUGAACGGUGGGCAUCACGCAGCAUGUUACAGCCAACAGAUCGCAAUACUAAUCGUACCGUCGACACGUCUGCUUGCGUCUUUUGCAGGUUUCUUCGCCGGCCUUGGUUGGACCGGCGACGGCGGUUCGCGGCGCGUCUCGAGGAGCGCGAACUCCGCGACGACGACGUCGUCGUCGACGGCUGCGAGCGACGUGCCGGCGCCGCUGACGCCGCAGCGUCGUCCCCGGUUGCACUGUCCAUCGCGGCACGCGGCCAGUCGCAAUAACAACCACCCCAGCAUCAGCAGCAGUAGUAACAGCAGCGGCAGCGGCGGCGGCAGCGGUGGUGGCGGCGGCCUGAUGCAUCACGAUCGCCGGCACAAUUGUUCGAGAUGCGGUAAGAGCUACAAGAACGCGUACAUCCUGAAGCGGCACUUGCUGUACGAGUGCGGUAAGGCGCCGUCCUUCAGCUGCCCGCACUGCGCCUUCAGCUCCAAGUACGAGCGUAAUCUCAAGGCGCACAUCAAUCACCGGCACGUCGAUGUACAGCCGGCGUUGCCCAGUAUCGUCGUCGGUCAGCGGGAGACGCGUCAUCAGCACGGCAGGGAGUGACUCGUCAGAGUCUGCGAGGUCGCGAUGUAAAAACGGGUGUAAAGCGACGAUCCUGAAAUCCGAUCGGCCGUAAUUCGCGAUUUGUUGCGGCUGAGGCAUGCCAAAUCAGAGUGUCAAAUUUCAGUCGAAUUUGUAACGGCGACUAUCGUUCAGAUAUUCACAGCCGCGAGAAGUUGUUUAAAGAUGAAGAAAAUAACAAAUUUCUCGUAUGAAUAUGAAUAUUUGGACGAUACUCUUAUGUUUUAGAUAUUGAGUGGAUCCCUAAUGGAUUCAGAAAUAUCAGCUUUUUUACUAUUUUUCGAAGGUGUGCAAAAGGUAAGAAAAUAUAAUUUGCAACUUUUAUUUGUGCACCCUGAGAAGAAUGCUUGCAAGAAAUUGGAAAGAUUUUUUUUUUAUUCAGACUUUUGAUUGAUUUAUUUUUUUAAUUAUUUGCGUAACAAAUGAUAAAGAGCCAUACAUAUAGAUAAUUCUCAACGCGUUAUUACUAAUUAAUAUCGCAUAAUCGUUCAAAGUUGUAUGGUGAUCUGAGUUUCCGUAAGCAUGCUGAUUAAGUUCUUGUUAAGUUAACUUUAAAAUGAAUUAUUAUUCUUACCACCAAAGUGAGUGCCAAAGAGUUAUUUUAAUCAAGCCUUUUAAAUUGUUCUCUAUUUUUUCAUCUUGCUUUUAGCGUUUAGUUCUCUUUUUAUUUUAUUACGUUUUAUUUUAUUCGUGCUUAUGUAAUGGAGAUUUUGUUCUGCAUGUAUCGCGUGACGUAAUUUAAAAAUAAGAUGAACAUUUGAGAAAUCUAUACCAAGAAUGCGUUUUUGUCUGGCACUGAAACAUUAGCGAUGUGCAUUACAUAAGACAAUAUGUAUUUCAACCGCUAAAUAUUAGGAUUUUAAAGGUCCCUUGUUCAAUGUUUAUUUUUCGGAAUAUAAGAUUACGGAAGGCUUUGCCACCCGUACGAUAUUAUAGAAUAAAAAGAUAAGAGACGAGCAUUUUAAUUAAGAAAAUGAUAAAGUAAAUGUUAAAAAAAAAAAAAUAAUAGUGACCCGCCAAUGUGGCGCGAAGCUAGUACUUGUUGGUUCCCGUUUAAUGAUAUAUAAAUGGAUAAAAAGUCGAAUAAGAACAUUGUUGAAUAUUGCAGAAUAUUCAUUGAAGUAUGUACCAAGAAAGUGUGAAAAAAAUUGUGUCCUCUUAUCUGUUGCAUUUUUAAACAAUUAACUCUGGACUGUCGCAAACACAGGAUAAAUAUAUGCUAAACAUUGCGAGACAGAUCUUUAUUUUUCGAGUGUCUUAUGCACUCCAUACUUUUUUUUAAAUAUCAGUCCGAGGAUAUAAAUUAAAAGCAAUUAAAAAGAAGACACUUUUUUGGGACAUCUUCGAGUCUUCUGCAGAUUGCUAAAUUGCCCAAUUAUUUUUGUACUAAUAACAAAUGAUACGAGAGUCGCUAGUGAGAUCUGAAUAUAUGGUGGUUUCACUUUAACCAUCGGUCAAACUGAGCGAAAUUCUCGGCGCAACGAAAUAGCCCCGACACACGUAGAUUACCGAUUCUAGCUAUCUAGUUCAGCCUAUAUGUAGUUUAAGGAUUGUUAAUCAAGUCUAGUCAGAUCGGUCUGCGUUUUCUCAUUGUCUUUGGGCGAUGAUCUGUAAACGAUAAAAAGAGAUCUUGGUAGUAUCUGUAUAUGUGUAUGUAUAUAUAUAUAUACACACACACACAUACAUUUGAUGAGUAAGUAAAUUUCUCUCUUUCUGAUAUAAAUAAAAAUUGGCUAAUAAAUAUUACUAUUUAUUGGUUACUAAUUUUAUAAAUCGCCUAAUAAAGUCUUAAUCCUCGGAAAUAAUUGCAAUAAUUACGCACAGUGAAAAAUAAGUAGAAAUCGUGAAAUGUGUGUGAUACAAUCUACAAUACCUGCAAUAAAUGACCUAAACAUUUUAUCUUUCCGCCGAUAUUUUUUUUUCUACGGAUCACCAAGAUUUCUAUAAUAUUUGAAUAUCGAAAGUAUAUUCAUCAUUACCGCCCGAGACAAGAUUAAAUGAUCCUCGUCUAUCGUAGAACUGUGUGUAAUAGAUUCAUCAAAAAGAUUUCCCCGUAGCCCAAAAAUGUAACUGUUGCCAAUUCGACGUUUGAUAACGUAAAGACGAAUUGAUAUCAGAAGUUAUAUUUAAUACGUGGGAAGUUCAUUAUUCGUGUUUGUUCGCGUCUUUCUAUCUGACUUAGAUUCUAGUCUAAAAAAACGGCCUAAACAGGUCGCAUACAUACAAAACUAACAUAUUACUACAUAUUCAAAAUAGAGAAUAUAUUUAAAUCAAAAAAGUAUAUAUACCGUAUGUAUUAUAUAUAUCGUAUAUAUAUACAUAUGACAUAAUAAUUUCCAAUGAUAUUACGAUGUAAAUUAUAAAACCAUUUACUCUGCAAUUGAAGCAAGGGUCUUUCUUGGUCGGGACAAAUAAUUCAUUAAACACGUUUCUGAUCCAUUUCAAUAGAAAAGAUUUAAGGUUUCAUAAACUUGUAAAGCACUCCAAUAAAGUUGCAGUGAAGUACAAGUAAUUUUAUUUAACAACUAUCCAAUGAAAAUUACUUGAAUACAAAUUAGAUUAAAUUAAAUUACUACAAAGAACAUAAUAUAACAUUUUGUCAGAGGUACAGGAAGUUUAAUAAGUACGAAAUUUUACAUAAUAUGAAAUUUACGUACCUUUUAUAAAUUGCAGUUUUUAUUAUAUAUGGCUUUAAUAAUUAAUAAUAUUAGUCCUUUAUUACACUUUGCAUAUUAUUGGUAACAUUAAAAAACGAUUUGUUAAGAAUAAAAAUGUCGGUUAAUUACAACUAACAUAAUAAAUACCAAUACAACGAGAUGACGCAAAUAUUGCAAUUUCAAGAAUUGUCAACAAGCCUAACCUAUGAGAUCCAACGAAUUCGAGAAUACAUAGGAUCAAGGACCAAAGAAUCGAUAAAGAACUCUUUCUUUAUCCUAGUCAAGUCCCGACCAAGAACAAAGCGAACAUUGUUGGACAACCCUAGGAAUAUUGAAGAUCUCGUAUUUAUUCUACAGAUUUAGAAAAUCUCUAAAUGUUACUCUCUUUCUCUCUUCCUCCAUCUUUCUCUUCUCUCGUAUUUAUCUUCCCGUACCUAUCUCUUUUUCUCUUUGUGCUAGAAAUUCGUAAUCUCGAGCUAAGCUCUUUCCUACUAUCUUGAAGUCUCGAAUAAUCUCAAUUUAGAUAUAGACGUCACAUCGACGAUCGAUCUGCAGUCUAUCUAUGCAAUCGCAUCUAUCGACUAUCUCUGAACUAAACUUACGCGAUUGUCCGAUAUUUCACGAUUCUCCGAUCGGUAUAUCUGAUAUACGAAAUCAAGGUACCAUUUGGAAUCAUCGAGUGCGACAUAGCGCGAUGAAAAAUUCAAUGAGCAAAUUUCGCGCGAAAUAUCGAUCGGGAUUGCAACGUGAAAAGUAACGCGCGACUGCGGACCUCUCAGCUUCCACGUGCUCCUCCUCGUGACUUUGAAAAUUUCGAAAGGAUCUUACAUGUCCGGGCGAUCUUACGUUUCCGUUGACUCGUGUCGCGUCCUGUAUUUUUCCUUUCCUCAUCUUUCUUACGAAAAAACAAAACGAAUUACUCAUAAGGGGAUUCUCGUGUGUCGUCCAAAUCGACUCCAUGUGCCUAAAAAUGUGAUCAAAACACGCUGUUGUAAAAUGCGACGCGUGAGCGUCGCAUUUAACGUCUAGUUUCUUGUUGAACCCGAGGGAUUUAUCGAUCCUCGCGUAUUAUCAUCCUUCCGUUUUCGGAGAAAGCGAAUAUUCUGAUAUUCGGCACGAAUAAUUUAUAAGAAGUGUACGAACAGCAAGUUAUUCGAUAAUAUCUGUUCCAGCAAUAAAAUCAAAAUCAUAAAAUGUUUUUUACUAGGACAAUGGAAAUUAUUGUACACGUUCACAUAGAGUCCAUAAAAUGCUUUUUUUAUCCUCAUCUUUGCAGAAAUCUCUGUUAUAAAUACGGAUAUAAUCGAAUUUGCUAAAUUUUGAAAAAUCUUACGAGUCUGUAUAUGACAUGAACACGAGCUAUAAAUAAUAAUUUUGUUAAAAUUGACAAAAUGGAAAAUAAUUAUACAAAUGGUUUUUCUAGUACAAAAGAAAAUACAUACAACAAUGUCAUACGUACAGACCAAAUUUUAUGCACAUUAUGAAAGUAUGAUGUUAAUUCAUUUUAAAACUUUUUUUUUUUUAAAUAGAUAAUUGCAACGUAUAAUUUUUUGUCAAUUUACGCGAAUAACAAGAUAUUUUCCACAUGUCACGUGGCGAAAAAAAAAAACUUGAGAACAAUUACAGAGAUAAGUAAUUGCAUUCAUCUGUUAUAAUUUUUCAUAUAUCUUUAAUUUUUUUCGCAUACGUAUAUGUACAAAAUGCGAUUGUUAUAUGUAUACAGUGAUUAAUAACAAUGUAACAUCGACCCCGUAUAAAACGUGAAAGCGAAUGGAAUGUGUCUUCCAAGUUUUUCAUGUUAUCGAAGCAGAGUAGAGCCGAAGUACAACAGCACGAGAGAGGAAAACUCUGUUUUUCGCGCGAUUUUGCGAUUUGAUAUGCGAAAGCAGAAAACGGGACAUACAGUGACGGAAAGACUGAAAAUUUAAAAAAAGUAGGAAGGAAAGUGCGAGGUGAGAGGUAUACAUUUGUUACUAACGCGUGAAUGAUGCGAAACAUAACGUGCGAUUGUCUCAUCGAUCUGUACAACUGUCCUCUUGCAUGUUGACUAGAAAUUUUCUAUUUUUAAUUCUUCGAGUUUCAAAACCAAAUUCUGAAUAGCGAACAUAUAUGUUAACAAUUACUCUUCGAUAAUUUGACAACGCUCAUCGUUACAUUAUAUAGUACCAUUAAAAUGAAUUUGGCCGAUUGUAUCCAAUAUAAUCGCCAUAAAAGUCUAAAAGUAAUUUUAACCGACAUGUGAUAACGAUAAUGCGAUACAAUGGCGAUCACAUAGUGACCUAAAUAAUGAGAUAAACGGUAAUUUCUGUCAUCAUGCGAGACGUAAUCGAAGAAACAAAUUUGUAAUUCGCACGCAUUCGCGUUGAUCUUGCGAUUUUUGUGCCAAUGUAAGUGAGGCCAGCUAUUAUGCAAUACUCGAGUCAUCGUGCAAGCCAAUGAUAAAUGGCUGUACACGAGAUGCCUAUAGAAUUAUUUUGAAGUCACCUUAUAUAUAGAUAUAAGAAGAUAAAGAAAUAUAUAUAUUAUAUAUACAGAGAGAUAAAAAAACAAAGAUUCUAUAUACAUAUAUUAUAUAUAUACACGUAUAUGAAUACACGUAGCACACGCGCAACUAUAUAUGUAAAUAUGCAUUAUAAUACAUAUAUAUAUACGUGUACGAUUUUGGACACGCGGGCGAAACAAGUCCAAAGGGACAACGCGAAACCAAAGAGAUACCUCUAGUUGUUAAGGUGAUCGAUGAUAAUAAUUAGCACGUAAGCGUUUUGGCUCCUUUCCUUUGUUUGGAGCUCUUCCGGUUACAUAACAUAUAUGAAUAGUGGACAAAACAUAAAACGGGAAUUCCAUCUAACAUCACGUACAGCAAUUUUUCACACUGCUACACUUUUGACAAUAUGAAGAAAAUUAAUGACCGGGUUGUAAAAUGAUUAUAAUUAAUGUCAUUAUCAAUUUUUUCAUAUAUAUUUUGUUCCAAGAAUGCACACUACACAUGUUUACGUUAAAAUAUUUGAAUAGCUUUCUCCAUUCAUUGUUCGCAAAUCUACAAAUGGUGUUAUGCGGAAUUCACGUUAAAAAAUGGCGAUAUGAUAUUACUGAAUAAACGGCCGAGAAAAAAUGCGUAAUAUUGUUCAUUAAUAUAAUAUAUUCAAGAUAUAUCUACGAUCCCUUUCGAUCAUGGUUUGAGUGAUUUUCACUCUUACAUUUACUCGGAUUUGUGUUUUUUAAAUACUUGUCUAUGUUUUUCGUUUGUAAUAUGUAUACUUUAUGUUAUAAUUUGAUUGUUUCAUAUCGAUCGCGGUCUGCAAAGUGUCGCCGACUUUUGCUUUACGUGAAUACAACUUAUUUACUCGCGUCAUAUGUAUAUGUGGUAUAUUCGUUUUAAUUUUUAUUUUUGGGAGCAGUUUAAAUCAUAUAUAAUUAUCAUCAAUUGUGAGUGUAUAAUUAAUAAUCGUUGUGUUAGCGAGAAUAAUCGACAAAUAAUAAAGAAAUUUAAUUAUUCAGUCA